rnacentral:rRNA from 1 species
CACGUAGGGUGCGAGCGUUGUCCGGAAUUAUUGGGCGUAAAGAGCUCGUAGGCGGUGUGUCGCGUCGGCCGUGAAAACCUGCAGCUUAACUGUGGGCUUGCGGUCGAUACGGGCAUCACUGGAGUUCGGCAGGGGAGACUGGAAUUCCUGGUGUAGCGGUGAAAUGCGCAGAUAUCAGGAGGGAACACCCGGUGGCGAAGGCGGGUCUCUGGGCCGAUAACUGACGC